AAACUGUAUGGUGCAGAAAGUGUCGUUUUCAUUGCAGUUUCUGCUGCUGGGAAAGCGGUAGAUCACUAUGGCUUCUGUACCGUGAAAUGAAGCUUAUGAUAAAUAAAAUACUGCUGCUUGCUGGUCACUGAUUGAAGAUCGUUCAGUGGCUACCAUUGGCCAAUCUCACCAACGGGAUAUAAUAAGAACUGAUGCAGGUUUAUAUCUAUUCGGAACAAAGUUAGUACACUUUUUAAACCGAUGUUGGAUUUUUCUCCAGAUACAGGCAACCCACUUAACUUUGGAAGUAGUGCGCUGGAUUCGUCUAAAGAUAUGCUAUACAACCGGAGGAAAA